AGACCUGCCAGAUGUGACGAUGGCAUAAAUUUGCCAGUAGAUGUCAGCGUGAAGAUGUUUGUCGUUGUUUUGAAACUUGUAUUGUUUUGAUACAAUUCCAGUACAAUUGCCUCAAACGUGUUUCAAAAAACCUCUGUAUUUCUUUUCCAUCAUAAAAAUGUAGCAGUUUUGAAGUCGUGCAUGGAUUCUUUAUGGGACGGCAACUCUUGUUUGUUUGUAUUCUGUAACGCGGAAGUGCCAACAUCGGACUUCAGGUGAAGACUUCUAUAUUCUACUUCACAACCAGAAAAACCCAGAAGAAGCCAGAAUCUUCUGGAAAACAAAGGUUAUAUAAACUACGCCUGCACAAUGAUUUCAUUUUUUACGCAGCUUUUGCCUGACCAUGAAGUUGUAAGCGAAACGAUAGCCGUUCUUUUAUUUUCACCGAUCGCUUUAAAUUGGUUUCGCUAAUAAUAAAUAAUUUGAUUCAUUCAAUUGAAUUUAUUUGUCGGAGUUUUAUUUAAUUUUUGUAAGUUUUAACCAAGUGAAAAUGGCUGGAAUAUCUCUGCUAUCAGUGCUAUUUGUCAUGCAGAUGACAUCGUCCUCUGCGGAGCCAAGAGGGGGAGCAACUGAUGGUGGGCAAAAGAGCUUCAUGAAACCUUAGAGCCACAGUUUGGAGUCUCUUGAUCUAAGAGUUGGUUGGGAAGGAGCUAGUGUACAGUUUUGUGCAGCUGUCUGAAUAUCCUUUUACCUCCCCGGUCUGUCCAAAGGAAAAGGUGACACAUAUAUUUCAAAAAGGCACAUUCAAGAUCAACAAGGUGCUGGAUGUUGCCUUACUACAGUCCCUGUCACCCACACAUGUUACCUAGAUGUAGGUGACAUGAGCUUGUGUGCACACUAAAGCUUGUUGGCACAUUCUCCCAUGUGAUGACACCUGCACUUGCAUAAUGUGAUGGGUUAUACACACUGUGGGAUCAUGAUCACAUGCCCUUAACCUGGAGGUAGCAGUAGAGACUGACAUUUUACCCCCUGAGAAUUUUGACCUAUUGCUCUUAAAACCUUAGGCAUACCUAUUUACAACUCUAUGAGUCUCCCACAGGUCCAUGUGAGUCCCAAGACUUCUUUCUACUCCGAAUUAUAUUUCUGACCUGCUAACACUUUGGUGUCCUACUUUGAAUCUUACACAUGCAAGACAGUUGUCGGUUUGCUCUUCCAUUAGGGCAAUAAAUCCUCUUCAUCACCUUCCAUCUUCUUCAAGAGUGAGUCUUAAAGAAGUGAGUGAAGGUGAUGAUCUCUUUCUGCAAACUGUGGUGUGAGCUCUGCUUGCUUGUUUGUCAUUUUCAUGACACUACAUAGCUCACGUUUAUUAACCGGCUCAACAUUUCUCUGACUGCUGCUGUCUUGUGUGCAUCCCACUUUACUUCAGUUUUUGAGAUUAACUAUGAAUUUAACUUAUCAACUAUCUAACAUUUUUGUUUCAUGAGUUCUAUAAGAAUUUUCUGCCAAUGAUAGUAAAGAGGAAAUGUGAUCACUUUUGUUAAUUUUAUUGGUCAUUUCAUUCAAAUUCACCUUUUCAAAAUAAACUGGGUGAUGGCCGGUCUGCCAGAUAAUGUGCUCCAUCUGGUUCGGUUCAGGAGAGCUCAGCAGUCUCUUUGUCAUCCUCACUCAGAUUAGCUGCUGUAUAUGUGAACAUUUGUACUUUUAACCUCUCUGCUCUGUGUUGUUUCAUCUUUCAGAUCACAGAAACAUCACAUCUGGACAAAAGAACGUCACUCUGACAUGUCGAGCUCCUAACAACAACACCAUUAUUAUUGUAGAGUGGAGCAGAGCUGACCUGGGAGAUAAAUAUGUGCUUUUGUACCGGAAUGAACGCUUUGAUCCAGACAACCAGCAUCCAUCUUUUAAGAACCGGGUGGAUCUGAAGGACAGACAGAUGAAGGAUGGAGACGUGUCUCUGAUUCUGAAGAAUGUGACGAUUAAUGACACUGGAACAUACGAGUGUUGUGUCAAGAACGAGCUAGACAGUAUGAGGCUCAUCAACAGCAUCGACCUUCAUGUUGUUCCUCCAGGUCAGACAGGAGGACACACAGAGGAUGGAUCUGUUGGACUGAAAGUUUGUCUUCCAGUUGUUAUUUUCCUUCUUCUUGUUGGUAGUGCCUUUGUUGGUUAUUUGAUCUACAGAAAAUAUAAACAACGUAGCCAGGACUCAUAUUGCCCCACCACUGAACCACAGAUUGAAAUGUCUCAGAGAUUUCUGAGUUCUGAAUCGCCUGCUAAUGAACACAAUGACAGAAAUGACCCGGAAGAAAACAGCUGUCACCAACACUCCACAAGGAUUCCUGAUGCCACUCUGACACUUGAGAAUGAACUACUUCAUCCUCAUACUCCUCAGGAAACAGCAGGACUCCUUCCAGAGAGUGACAUCAGAGUGCAGUAGAUAAUGUCUGACAGCAGUUUGAAGAGCAAAUGGAUUCUGUUCUGUUCUUCACUCAUCACCUACCUGACAGCUGACACCUCACACCUGUUUCUCACCUGCAGGUCAGCCAGGAGGACUCGGAAAAUAUGGGGGGAAGAAGGAAUGGAGUCAAUAGACAUCUUGGACUGGUAGCUGUUAUAUCAGUUGUUGUGCAAUUUGCCUGCUUGUGAUGACUAUAAAACUGAUGAAGAAUUCUCGCCUCUGUCCAGUGAUGAAGAGCAGGGAAAGAAAGCAAUAUAUUUAUAUUUCACUCGUCACAGUGAAAAAAACAGGUGCAACAAGCUCGACAUUUUUAAAUGAGAAUAAGAAAGAAAAGUAUUUCUUUGUGCCCCC